rnacentral:rRNA from 1 species
GAUGAACGCUAGCGGCAGGCCUAAUACAUGCAAGUCGAACGGUGUCUUCGGACAUAGUGGCGCACGGGUGCGUAACACGUAUGCAACCUACCUUACAUUGGGGGAUAGCCUUUCGAAAGGGAGAUUAAUACCGCAUAAGACAGUAGCUGGGCAUCCAGCAGCUGUUAAAGAUUUAUCGAUGUAAGCUGGGCAUGCGUCCAAUUAGCUAGUUGGUGAGAUAACGGCUCACCAAGGCAAUGAUUGGUAGAGGAACGGAGAGGUCAAUCCCCCACACUGGCACUGAGAUACGGGCCAGACUCCUACGGGAGGCAGCAGUAGGGAAUAUUGGGCAAUGGACGUAAGUCUGACCCAGCCAUGCCGCGUGCAGGAUGAAGGCGUUAUGCGUUGUAAACUGCUUUUAUACAGGAAGAAACGACUCUUGCGAGAGGCAUUGACGGUACUGUAUGAAUAAGCACCGGCUAACUCCGUGCCAGCAGCCGCGGUAAAAC